rnacentral:rRNA from 1 species
CCUACGGGUGGCAGCAGUGGGGAAUAUUGGGCAAUGGAGGCAACUCUGACCCAGCAACGCCGCGUGAAUGAUGAAGGUCUUCGGAUUGUAAAGUUCUUUUCUAAGGGAAGUAGAAAGUGACGGUACCUUAGGAAUAAGCCUCGGCUAACUACGUGCCAGCAGCCGCGGUAAUACGUCGGAGGCGAGCGUUAUCCGGAAUGACUGGGCGUAAAGGGUGCGUAGGUGGUUUGGCAAGUUAGUUGCGUAAGUCCACGGCUCAACCUUGGAAUGACAACUAAUACUGUUGGACUUGAUUGCAGGGGGGGCAAGCGGAAUUCGUGGGGUAGCGGUGGAAUGCGUAGAUAUGAGGAGGAACACCGAUGGCGAAGGCGGGUUACUAGACUGCAACUGACACUGAGGCACGAAAGCGUGGGGAGCAAACAGGAUUAGAUACCCGGGUAGUC